UCCAAAAUGGCGCUCGAAAAGUUUGUUUUUAUUGCGACGGUACCAGCAAAGAAAAGCGCCAAAGUCCUGCUCAAAUAUGUCUUCGGAGGGAGAGGAUCCUUUUCGGUGGUCACUUCUGGAGUGGUUGCUGUGUUGAUGAAUUUCAUUCGUACGAAGGUGAAAAAGAGUUGUGCCCAAAAGUGUUGGCACGGAGACCGGAUGCGUUUUGAGGCUUUUCACCGAUAAAUGAAGCGCGCUAAUUGGGUCCAUGCAAGCAGAAAGGGCCUUGGAUGUAUUACUGGAUGAACACGGGUGACAUCCCAAUUCGAUGAUGGGCGCGAAGUCGCUUGCCAGCCCGGAAAGCCUCUAUGUGUGUAUGUUUUUUUGUAAGCAAAAUAAACCAAACUUAGAAAUGAAGUUUAGUGAAAAUGUGUUUUGUUAAAUA